CCUAAAGUUAUAUUAUUAUCUAGGUGACUAUUUUGGCACUACACAAUUCUAACAAAGAUAUAAUAUAACAAACAACAUAAACUUGUGAUUAUUGUAACACAUUUGUACAUAUGUCAUUGAAGAAAAGUACAUAUUAGUUACCUCCCUUUACAAAAUAGAAAUAUAAGUAAGGGAGAUAAUACAGGAUGGUUGUGAAAUUGUCUCCCUUUUAAAAGAAUUAUUUCUAGAUAAAAUAUAAAAAGGAUGACAUAUUUCUAAAAAUGCAGCAGUAAUUAUGUAUUAAAGAAAUAUUUCAAUAUUUCACAAUACAGC
rnacentral:lncRNA from 1 species